rnacentral:rRNA from 1 species
UACGAAGGGGGGCUAGCGUUGCUCGGAAUCACUGGGCGUAAAGGGUGCGUAGGCGGGUUUUUAAGUCAGGGGUGAAAUCCUGGAGCUCAACUCCAGAACUGCCUUUGAUACUGGGGAUCUGCGAGUCCGGGAGAGGUGAGUGGAACUGGCGAGUGUAGAGGUGAAAUUCGUAGAUAUUCGCAAGAACACCAGUGGCGAAGGCGGCUCACUGGCCCGAUACUGACGCUGAGGCACGAAAGCGUGGGGAGCAAACAGGG